GAUGAACGCUGGCGGCGUGCCUAAUACAUGCAAGUCGAGCGAACGGACGAGAAGCUUGCUUCUCUGAUGUUAGCGGCGGACGGGUGAGUAACACGUGGAUAACCUACCUAUAAGACUGGGAUAACUUCGGGAAACCGGAGCUAAUACCGGAUAAUAUUUUGAACCGCAUGGUUCAAAAGUGAAAGACGGUCUUGCUGUCACUUAUAGAUGGAUCCGCGCUGCAUUAGCUAGUUGGUAAGGUAACGGCUUACCAAGGCAACGAUGCAUAGCCGACCUGAGAGGGUGAUCGGCCACACUGGAACUGAGACACGGUCCAGACUCCUACGGGAGGCAGCAGUAGGGAACCUUCCGCAAUGGGCGAAAGCCUGACGGAGCAACGCCGCGUGGGUGAUGAAGGUCUUCGGAUCGUAAAACUCUGUUAUUAGGGAAGAACAUAUGUGUAAGUAACUGUGCACAUCUUGACGGUACCUAAUCAGAAAGCCACGGCUAACUACGUG
rnacentral:rRNA from 1 species